rnacentral:rRNA from 1 species
UACGUAGGGGGCAAGCGUUGUCCGGAUUUAUUGGGCGUAAAGAGCGUGUAGGCGGUCAGGUAGGUCCGUUGUGAAAACUCGAGGCUCAACCUCGAGACGCCGAUGGAAACCAUCUGACUAGAGUCCGGAAGAGGAGAGUGGAAUUCCUGGUGUAGCGGUGAAAUGCGCAGAUAUCAGGAAGAACACCCGUGGCUAAGGCGGGUCUCUGGGCCGUAACUGACGCUGAGAAGCGAAAGCGUGGGGAGCGAACAGG